UGAAAUGGUUAGUAUUCUUGGUUAAUUUGUAUAUUUGAUGUUAUCAAGACCUUGCUGUAAGGAACAGCACCAGGAAAAAGGAAGAGUUGCAGACAAAAGAUCAGCGGCGUAGCAACCAUGGCACGAAGGGGUUCAAUGCGCCCGGGCCCACGACCACUAGGGGCCUAAACGGGGUUAAGUUUAAAAACCAUCGACUGCAAACUAGACCAAGCUGAUGUAAAACAGGACUAUUGCGCUGUGGGAAGUCCUCAGUUUCCCAUACCUAUGAUGACCAAUACACAUUUAGAAUAUCUGAAGAUUCAGCAUGUCACUCAGAGUCCCGAAAUGUUACAUGGUUGACCAAUGACAUUGGCCCCUACAAUGAUCUGUAGUGACCUAGCUUAGUUUAGAGAUCAUGUUAGUUUUGUAAAUAAAUAUUUUGUGCAGUGUUUUUAGCGACGGUAAAAGUAGUCAGACAGACGAAUGACGUUGCAGGGUACACGAUAGGAGAAGAAUGUGGCUCGGGCUGGUAGAAAGAUGUACAGUGAAAAGACCAUUAAUUAAAACGACGGAUCAUGCCAAUCUGUAAAUAAACAUCAGUUGAAGAAUUCACAAA